rnacentral:lncRNA from 1 species
AGAAAAAAAAAGACAAACCUUGCAUGUUACCCUUUUGCUGCCAUAACUUUUGAGGUUAAACCCCACCCUGCAGCUGGAUUUGCUAAACUGACAGAAGUUAUAAAAAACCUUUAGCAAUAAUGUAAGAAGCAGAGCAGAGUGUUGGGCGCAUUUCCAGGGCAGUGGAGGUCAUUCGUUCUGCUGGAAACUUCCGGAAAGUCAAACAAGGUCACGUCAAGGUCAUCAUAGAGGGCAGAAGAGGCCGAACCUGGCAGAUGGGGCCAGCAGGUGUUUGGAGCCGCUGCUUCUGGACUCUGAGGUCACAGGUUUGAAUCUCCCCCUGCAGUUCCCUUGAUACUAUAUUGACACGGAAAAAGUGACCCACCUCUAUAAAUGGGUAGAUCAUUCUAAGUCACCUAACGCCGUAAGCUGGUUUGGAGAAAAAUGUCAGAUAAACAAAUAUAGAUGGAGAGCAGAAGUAGAAGGAUAGAGGAGAACGAGAUGCGACCAGUAAACCCUCUGCUUGUAGUGUGAGGGGGAACAUGCGGGUCCGAGGGAUGGUGGCCAGGAGAUGCUCGUGUGUGGCUCUCAGCGGAGAUAUUCGGCGUUCCUGGACGUCGUCCCACACAGACGCAGUCCUAUUGGGGAGCGAGAGGGAGGAAAAGGGACGACGGGGCACCGUCCCCCACCUUUCCAGAGAUAAGCCCUGAUGGUAUAAAUCUGACCUGUGCCCCACGGGGUCCACCAUGUGAAGAGAGAAGCGGGAAGAAUGAGGAGUGAAGAAGGAAGGAGAGCCCUUGUGGAGGGAGCGGAUCGGCCGCGGCGAGGGAGCGUUCGACGGAGGAGGACAACGAGAAGGAAACAAUGCGGCGUCAACAAGAUGGAGUUCAGGGCGAAGAUUUCACCGGCUGACGGGCGACUCUUUGGCUGCCAGGGCCUUAUUGUCCCACUGCCAUACAGGGAAGGCGCCUCCUGCACCAGUGCGCUCCAUAGGAAGGGCUCUGCACACGAGGGGUCUGUUGGAUUUCGGGCAGAUUUCUCACCAUUGUGUUGCGUUCCUUCUUUCUGC